rnacentral:rRNA from 1 species
CCUACGGGUGGCUGCAGUGGGGAAUAUUGCGCAAUGGGCGAAAGCCUGACGCAGCGACGCCGCGUGGGUGAUGAAGGCCUUCGGGUUGUAAAGCCCUGUCGGGUGGAACGAACGAUCUGGCGGCGAAUAACCGCCGGGUGUGACGGUACCACCGAAGGAAGCCCCGGCUCACUACGUGCCAGCAGCCGCGGUAAUACAGAGGGAGCAAGCGUUAUUCGGAGUUAUUUGGCGGGAAGGGCGCGUAGGCGGUGUAAGCCCCGAGCUCAACUUGGGAACUGCAGCUGAGACUGGAAGGCUAGAGUACUGGAGAGGGUGGUGGAAUUACUCGUGUAGCGGUGAAAUGCGUAGAGAUGAGGAGGAACACCAGUGGCGAAGGCGGCCACCUGGACAGUAACUGACGCUGAGGCGCGAAAGUGUGGGUAGCAAACAGGAUUAGAUACCCCAGUAGUC